rnacentral:rRNA from 1 species
CCAGACUCCUACGGGAGGCAGCAGUGGGGACUCUUGGGCAAUGGGCGCCGGCCUGACCCCGCCACGCCGCGUGCAGGCAGAAGGCCCUCGGGUUGUAAACUUCUUUUAUUCGGGACGAAACAAAUGACGGUCCCUAAUGAAUAAGCCACGGCUAACUACGUGCCAGCAGCCGCGGUAAUACGUAGGUGGCAAGCGUUAUCCGGAUUUACUGGGUGUAAAGGGCGUGUAGGCGGGAGAGCAAGUCAGACGUGAAAUUCCAGGGCUCAACCCUGGAACUGCGUGUGAAACUGUUCUUCUUGAGUGAUCGAGAGGCAGGCGUAAUUCCGUGUGUAGCGGUGAAAUGCGUAGAUAUCAGGAGGAACACCGGCGGCGAAGGCGGCCUGCUGGACCGUAACUGACGUUGAGGCUCGACAGCGUGUGGAGCAAACAGGAUUUGAUACCCGAGUA